GACGAACGCUGGCGGCAGGCUUAACACAUGCAAGUCGAACGCCCCGCACCGGGAGUUGCAGGCGGGUGAGGAACGCGUGGGAACAUACCCUUUUCUAUGAACUAGCUCUGGGAAACUGGUAUCAAUACCGUACACGCCCUACUUGGGAAAGAUUUAUCGGGGAGGAAUUGGCGCGCGGUGGAUUAUCUAGUUGGUGGGGUGGAGGCAUACCAAGGCAACGAUCCAUAGCUGUUGUGAGAGGCUGAUCAGCCACAUUGGGACUGAGACACGGCCCAAACUCCUACGGGAGGCAGCAGUGGGGAACAUUAGACACUGGGGGCAAGUCUGAUCCAGCCAUGUCGCGUGAGUGAUGAAGGCCUUAGGGUUGUAAAGCUCUUUCAGCGAUGACGAUAAUGACGGUAGUAGGAGAAGAAGCCCCGGCUAACUUCGUG
rnacentral:rRNA from 1 species